rnacentral:rRNA from 1 species
AAAUUGAAGAGUUUGAUCAUGGCUCAGAUUGAACGCUGGCGGCAGGCCUAACACAUGCAAGUCGAACGGUAACAGGAAGCAGCUUGCUGCUUUGCUGACGAGUGGCGGACGGGUGAGUAAUGUCUGGGAAACUGCCUGAUGGAGGGGGAUAACUACUGGAAACGGUGGCUAAUACCGCAUAACGUCGCAAGACCAAAGAGGGGGACCUUCGGGCCUCUUGCCAUCAGAUGUGCCCAGAUGGGAUUAGCUUGUUGGUGAGGUAACGGCUCACCAAGGCGACGAUCCCUAGCUGGUCUGAGAGGAUGACUAGCCACACUGGAACUGAGACACGGUCCAGACUCCUACGGGAGGCAGCAGUGGGGAAUAUUGCACAAUGGGCGCAAGCCUGAUGCAGCCAUGCC